UGAACCUGCGGAAGGAUUAUUACCGAGUGAGGGCCCUCUGGGUCCAACCUCCCACCCGUGUCUAUCGUACCUUGUUGCUUCGGCGGGCCCGCCGUUUCGACGGCCGCCGGGGAGGCCCUGCGCCCCCGGGCCCGCGCCCGCCGAAGACCCCAACAUGAACGCUGUUCUGAAAGUAUGCAGUCUGAGUUGAUUAUCGUAAUCAGUUAAAACUUUCAACAACGGAUCUCUUGGUUCCGGCAUCGAUGAAGAACGCAGCGAAAUGCGAUAAGUAAUGUGAAUUGCAGAAUUCAGUGAAUCAUCGAGUCUUUGAACGCACAUUGCGCCCCCUGGUAUUCCGGGGGGCAUGCCUGUCCGAGCGUCAUUGCUGCCCUCAAGCACGGCUUGUGUGUUGGGCCCCCGUCCCCCUCUCCCGGGGGACGGGCCCGAAAGGCAGCGGCGGCACCGCGUCCGGUCCUCGAGCGUAUGGGGCUUUGUCACCUGCUCUGUAGGCCCGGCCGGCGCCAGCCGACACCCAACUUUAUUUUUCUAAGGUUGACCUCGGAUCAGGUAGGGAUACCCGCUGAAUUA
rnacentral:rRNA from 1 species